rnacentral:rRNA from 1 species
UACGUAGGGGGCAAGCGUUGUCCGGAAUCAUUGGGCGUAAAGAGCGUGUAGGCGGCCCGAUAAGUCCGCUGUGAAAGUCCAGGGCUCAACCCUGGGAUGCCGGUGGAUACUGUCGGGCUCGAGUCCGGAAGAGGAGUGUGGAAUUCCUGGUGUAGCGGUGAAAUGCGCAGAUAUCAGGAGGAACACCCAUGGCGAAGGCAGCAAACUGGGCAUCAACUGACGCUGAGGAGCGAAAGCAUGGGGAGCGAACAGG